UACGGAGGGUGCAAACGUUGCUCGGAAUCACUGGGCGUAAAGCGCACGUAGGCGGCCCGACAAGUCGGAUGUGAAAGCCCUGGGCUCAACCUAGGAAGUGCAUUCGAAACUGCCGGGCUUGAGUACGGGAGAGGGUUGCGGAAUUCCCGGUGUAGAGGUGAAAUUCGUAGAUAUCGGGAGGAACACCGGUGGCGAAGGCGGCGACCUGGGUCGAUACUGACGCUGAGGCGCGAAAGCGUGGGGAGCAAACAGG
rnacentral:rRNA from 1 species